AUGUCUGAUGGUGAAGAUGUCUGGCCUCGUCGGCUCAGACAGAUGGUCGGCCUUCGCCUCGUCGGUGCCCGGCCUGGUGGUGUCCGCCUCGUUGGUGUCAGACACGACCUCAGACCGUCGUGCCUCGUCGGUCUUGGCAGCGUUGGAGUAUUUGUUGUCGGGGUGGCAUGGGUCACGCUCGGCUUAGACUUCUUGGCGGCCGGUUACUUCAUCGGGGUGUGCAAGGGGUACACCUUGCGGGAGUAA
rnacentral:rRNA from 1 species